CGGGUUGUUGCUGGCCCCCAAACCGGGCACGUGCACGCCCUGUUUACGCAUCCACUCACACCUGUGCACCCUCUGUAGUUCUGUGGACCGGGAGACGUCGUCUUCCUUCCGUGGCUCUACGUCUUUACACACACGCCGUAGCGAAGUCUCAUGGAAUGUUUUUCGCGUUUAACGCAAUACAAUACAACUUUCAGCAACGGAUCUCUUGGCUCUCGCAUCGAUGAAGAACGCAGCGAAAUGCGAUAAGUAAUGUGAAUUGCAGAAUUCAGUGAAUCAUCGAAUCUUUGAACGCACCUUGCGCCCCUUGGUUAUUCCUCGGGGCAUGCCUGUUUGAGUAUCAUGAACACCUCAACUCUCGUGGUCUUCCAUGAUGAGCUUGGACUUUGGGGGUUUGCUGGCCCUGUGGCCGGCUCCUCUCAAACGAAUCAGCUUGCCAGUGUUUGGCGGCGUCACGGGUGUGAUAACCAUCUACGCUUGCGAUCGCCUGCCAGAUAACCCUCAGCGAUGAAGGUUCAUUGGGGCUCACAAAAGUCUCUCCACGGCGAGGACGAAUUUUGAAUGUUCGAUCUCAAAUCAGGUAGGACUACCCGCUGAACUUAAGCAUAUCAAUAAGCGGAGGAAAAGAAACUAACAAGGAUUCCCCUAGUAACUGCGAGUGAAGCGGGAAGAGCUCAAAUUUAAAAUCUGGCGUGCCUCUGGUCGUCCGAAUUGUAGUCUGGAGAAGCGUUUUCCGUGCUGGACCGUGUACAA
rnacentral:rRNA from 1 species